UAAUACGAAUGGGGCAAGCGUUGUUCGGAAUAACUGGGCUUAAAGCGUGCGUAGGCGGCUAUGAAAGUCAGAAGUGAAAUCCCCGGGCUUAACCCGGGAAUUGCUUUUGAAACUCCAUAGCUAGAAUCCGGGAGAGGUUAGCAGAAUUCUCAGUGUAGAGGUGAAAUUCGCAGAUAUUGAGAGGAAUACCAGUGGCGAAGGCGGCUAACUGGACCGGCAUUGACGCUGAGGUACGAAAGCGUGGGUAGCAAACAGGAUUAGAUACCCUGGUAGUCCACGCCGUAAACGAUGUGUGCUAGUUAUCGGGCCCUACGGGUUCGGUGACGCAGCGAAAGCGUUAAGCACACCGCCUGGGGAGUACGGCCGCAAGGUUA
rnacentral:rRNA from 1 species